GCUGUGGGCUUCUUCCCUGUAGCAAGAUUCUUCUGAGGUCCAUGCACGUUUCUGCACGUACCAAUAAUUCAUUUCUCUCUGUUGCUGAAGCAUCUUUCAAGGCAAAGAGGAGUGAAGAACCAGUGUUAUAUAGAAUGUUUUAUUUUAAAGCAACAAGCAUGCAUUGACUUCACAGCCGGAGGAAGACUAUGUAGGAAUCAUGGUUCAUUAUUCUUAGUAACAGUGGCCCUGAUUUACCCAAGUGCAAGGCUGCCUGGCUGGAGAGCAAACCAUCACUUCUCCUUGCAAGAAACUCUGUCUGCGUCUUGAGUAAAUGUGAUGUGGCGACUUUUAGGAUCCCUCUGUAAGAGACAGAUGGUAGUCCCUGGUACUUCACCCCACGUCCUGUUCAAGCAGGGGUCAUCACAUGACCUUCCGUUAGAAGCCAUUGCUUAGAUGCCACAAUUCAAUCCAUGGGAGAACAGUAGCACAGCCAUCGAUCCUAAAGGAUUAUGGUUCAAGUCAAUGAGCUUCGGGAUGCUCUAUCAGUGAUUCCUCUACACAGUCAGAGCUGGAUGCUUUAUUGCUCAGUAUUCUGCAGCUGAUUGUCAAGAGUAAGCAGAAAAGAGGGCUGAAUUUCAAGCAAGCCAAGAUGCAAAAAAAGGAGGCUUUAAUAAAUCAAGCUGCAAAGAGGACCCCCAGACAAGCAAAACUCAAAGAAGACCCCUGCACAAGGCAAAUCGCCUGGAAGAAACAAACCAGCAGAGCUGCCGGGAAGAGCUGAAGCACCUGGAAGGGACACUCUUCACCCUUCUGAGCUGCCUACAGGCUGUGCAGUGUGCUCCAGGUUUCCAGCUUCUGUGAGCUGUCACCCAUGCUGAUGUGAGCUUUGGUGAUGCAGCUGUCUGAGUUAUUUCUACUCCCAUAUGUAAACUCUCACCCAUAUUCCUCAAGGGAAUACAAGAAGAAGAAAAAAAGCCUACCAUGACAGUUCUCCAGAGGACAGUACCUAACAAUAUCUGAGUAGCAUGCUCAGCAGAAAGCACAGCCACACUGGAGGACAUCAGGAGAACCCAGCUAAGUAUUGCAUGGUCCGGGUUCCGCACCAGGCCUUGCUCCUCCUUCAGUUGCUUGAUACUCUGUUUCUCGUGCACUGAGACCAGCUGACCCGCCUCGACCGCCUUCACAAAGGCCACUGUUCUGGGAGAAGGCUUGUCCAACACUAUAGUGUUCUGAAUAAUGAACAUGAGAGGAAUUCCAGGAGUCCUCUUGACUUUCACAGAUAAGUUCUGAUCCUAUUAAAAAGGAAAGGGGUUUGGUUUCUCAAUCAAAAUUAGAACCUAAAAUUAAGUUUCUAUUAAAAAAGGCUAGAUGGGGAAAAAAAGAAUAGAUAUUCUCUCGAAACAUCGACAAGGGAAGAGGUUGGAGCAGAGUAAUAAGCUGACUCCACAAUCAUAUCUGUAUACCUCAUGUGUGCCUAGGUGGCCGUAAGAUGGCGGUGGGUUCCUUGAGACUGUAGGUACACAUGGUUGAGAGCAGCUGUAUAGGUGUUGGGAAUUAAACCAAGAGCAGCCAGCUCUUAACCCCUGAGCCAUCUCUGCAGCCUCCUGAUGCUAAUCUCAGAGCACAUGCACCAUGAGCUGAGAAGCAGGAAUUCAGGAACAUGCUAGGUUAUGAGUCCAGAAGGCAGAGACUGCCCGACUCCUCCCUGCUUGAAGAACCGUGACGCAAUCAGCACACUACUGCAACAGCUCCUCAGCCUCUAGAAGGAAACUUCUGAAGGAAAAAAAGUCCCCCAAACUUAGUCUCCUCCUCAUAUGUUCAAAUGGACCAGAUACAAUGAGCCUUCCAGAUACUGAAGAGGACUCCAGGUCACUAUUAC
rnacentral:lncRNA from 1 species